rnacentral:lncRNA from 1 species
GGACAGGGCCAGGAGGCUGGAAAACCUAUGAGGCAGAUGGUGUAUCUGCCCCUUUAAACUUGGCCAGAGAGAAACUCUGCUUCCUAGAUGGCAACAGCAAUACCACCUCUAGCUGCUGGCUCCACUGGUGGAACAUUCUCACACAGUGGUCAGGUAGAAAGCACUAUUUGGAUGGACUUCACCUUGGAUUUCCUACUUCUGGAUGAAAUUAGGGAAAUCAUCUGAUGCUCAAAGAGGAGGCAUGAUGGCAGCCAAACCACUCAGUGAGAGCGCUGGGAUGAGAACUCAGAUCUCCUGGGCUCUUUCCACUCCAGUCCUCUGUUAAUCUUCAUCUAUUUCUCCAUGUCCAUCAGUAUCAAGCACAGAAUUCUACAGUCUUUUCCUAGAGAUCGACCAAAAGAUGGCAGCCAGCUGUGUUUGUCCUCAAGGUACCAUGUUGGGAAGGUAAAGAGAACUGGGAGCUCCAGGAUGUGGGCUCUCCAGUCUGCAGAUUCUAAGGUAAUGCCUUCUCUCUCCAGCAUCCCUAUGGGGAAUCAAGGACACAAUGCAUGUUGAGCACUUGGUAUGUGUCAGGAGCUGGGUAAGUGGCAUUUUCCUUUGCUCUUUCUCAGGACACCCCACUGGCAGCUCCUGGCAGCCCCUCAGGGAAACCUUACAGGGGGUCCUUCCAGGUAGAAGAGCAACUCCUUUAUCUUGGCAGGCAGGGCUCACCCAUGUUUGUGGCCUCAGAAGGACCUGCUGGAUGGCUUAGCACCUGGACAGCAGGCUGUGGUCUCGCAGUCCCUUUCAGAGCAGCAUCUGUUCCGCUGGGCUCCUAUCAAGCUCUCUGGGGGCAGCUCUGCCCUUGCACCACUUUUUUAAAGAACAGCCCACCCAUUGCUCUAUGGGGAUAGGGGGACCUACCACUUACUUAACUAAUUUACUUUUCAGUAAGACUGAGAAGGGAAAAAAUGAGUCAUGAGCUGAGGCUGGGGGCCCAGCUCUUGCCCCACAGAGGGUCACUAUGCAGUGCCAUGAGGUGGGUCAUUUCUAGAGCAAACUUCGCUCCCCUUGGCUUGGCCCAACUUUUAAUAAGUCCACACUGACUCAUUCUCUUUUGCUUCAAGGAAACUGUUAAAUUCACUAGAACUUGCCAUGGUGUGACAGUGUAGAGCCCAUCCGUUCUUCCUGGCAUUGUCUGGUUUUACAGACAGAACAUAUUUGGUGAAAGUCCCAAGAUUUUAUGUCCUGUCUCUAUAGGUUGUGAAUUUUCUUGAGUAAUCUCUGUUCCAAAUAUUCUACUUUACUGAUCCUAGAAACCACCCACAUGAAAAUGUUUUAGUAUGUAUUUUUUCUCUGACAGCCUCGACUCCCCAUGUUCUGCCAGCCCAUGGGCUUUCUUCAGAAGUGGUCAGGGUACCCAUUGGGUGUGUGGGUACCAUCAAGGACAUUGAGCUAUUUAUGUUUGGGGAGUCCUUCUCCCUGGGAGGCAGAGCCAGUCUACCUCUACAGAGUUAGCAGUGGUAGAUAUUCGUUUCCUAGUCCAGACUUUAAAAUGGAAGCUCGUCAUACAAAAAAGCAGGAACCACACAGAAUGCAUUCUGGCACAGGGAUGGCUUCAUCCAGCUUACUGGCAGACUCAGAGCACUUUCCAGCUCUCACUGUCACUGCAGCAGAGGUGACAAGCUGCAGUGUCUGUGCUCAGCAGAAGCUGCUCUGGGGCGUUACCAGACCAGUUCUCCAGCACAAUUUGGCUAUUUCCCCAGGCUGACUAGCCCCAGAGCCUAGUCCUAUGACCGUUUUGCAAAUUCUACGAACCAGAGCCUACUUCACAGGUCAGCAACCUGUGUAGUCACACAGGGCCCCAGGCGCAGCACGAUCCUGUGCUUAAAUGCUCUUCUGUCCGGCUUCCAACCCUUCAAAUUUUUGACCAAGAAGCUUCACAUUUCCAUUUUGUACUGGGCCCUGCCAAUUACAUGGCCAAGCCUGCUGUAAGCUAGCUUGGCCAUACUUUAGGUUAAGCAGUUCUUAACCUUUUGUGUGCCACAGAGUCCUUUGAUGAUCCGGUGAAGCCUAUGAAGUAUAUAAAGAAUCUUUUUAAAUGCACAAAAUAAAAUACAUAGGAGGCUAAUUAUAUUAAAAUAUAGUCAAAUAUUUUUUUAAAAUAACGAAUAUACGAUAGUAUAGUAUGUGUGCUUUUUUAUUAGUGCCUUAAAUAAAACCACCAGCAACAACUGAAAUGGGACUUGAAAAUAUCUAUGGCUUCUAAAGGCAAUAAAGUCACAGGUAUCUGACAUGUCCACAUUUAUAACUUAAGGAAAUGCUAAAUUCGGUGAGAGAUUUUUUUUCAUUGAUCUAUCCAAGUCACAGAGCUCUAGUUUUUUAAAUGAAAAUUUAAUUUUAAAACAAUUAAAAUUUAAUCUAAAUAAAUUCCUUUUCUGCUUCAAUCGGCCAAAGCUAGUAUGUGCUGCUUACAAAGAGAAGCCUGAAGGAUACAGGACCCCAAUGGGACUCAGGCCCCCAGGACCAGCCUUGCAAACACAACAAUCAGAGUGGCCCCAGGUGAGUCAAAGAUGUAUCCAACGUGGCUCCGCCUCAGUGUGAGGAUCGUAGAGGAGAAAGUGUCAAUGACAACAGCCCAGGAUGCUGCCUGGGAAGCAUGUGACUGGCCCUAUGUGUGUGGUACAAUCCAAGUGAUCUAGACGUCUGAGCAAGUGGAGAUCCUUUCCAACUGGGAAGGUCCACUAUUAAUAAUGGUUCUAUCUUAUGAGAAGGGAGCUAAGACACAUAACUGUAUAAUCAUUGCUCCAAAGCCCACAGCAAGUUGACAGAAAGCUGAAGAGUCUCCUUUCUCGAUUUCCCAAAUUCUAACCCAGAAUUCUUUGUUCUAGAUAUUUCAACAUGAGUUGCUUUUUGGAGAUCUCAAAGGAAAUAUGAUCAAAACAUACCUCCCCAGAUACUUUUUUUUUUGGGGGGGGGGCACCUCCUCCGCAUGUGAAAGUUCCCAGGCCAGGGAGCGAACCCGUGUCUGAAGUUUCCACCUGUGCCACAGCUGCGGCAAUGGCGGAUCCUUAACCUGCUGUGCCACAAAGGAAAUACCCAGGUACUAUUUUCUCGUCCCCCUUCCACUUUUCCUUUGGGGAAGAGGGAUUUAAAAGCCCUUCAACACAAAGGGAAUAUCUAUCCUUUGGACACACUUGAGAAACCUGGGUUUGUUUCCAAAGCAGAAAGCAAUCCACUCACAGAUACCCUGAAUCUUCCAAAGUUGUUUUAUAUCCAUUAUUAUGUUUGAGUUUGGGGCACAUACCAUUACCCCUAUUCUACAGAUAAGGAAACCAAGGGUCAAAGAAGCUGUGACUUGCACAAGGUCAGAAAGCAAGGAAGCAAAACCAGGUUCCUUGCUGCUUAGCCCAGUCUCCUUCCCUCUGCCCACCACUCUCCUGUGAGCAGAUCAUAACAAAAAGGGAGGCUGUCUCUGAUGGGGAAGUACAUUCAUGCAGAUUAUCGAAAAACCAAGAUACCCACACCUCAGAUUCUGGAUAGCAGGUGUCAGUUAAGAGGGGAGAGGCUCAAGAAAGAAAACGGAUGACCAAAUCCCCUGACCCCAAACAGACUUUGAUUUGAGCCCCAGCAGAGGACAGAACUCUCUUGGCCAGUGACCAGCAUACAGAGUCCUUCCCAUUCCUGCCUUGGUCUUAGGCUCAUAACAACAGCAACAGCAGGAAAAGGGCUCCAUGAACAUAAAAAUAAACAAACUUUCUAUUUUUAGCAGGGCUGCAGCUGUGAGAGCUUCAUUAUUUGCUUUUGAGCUGCAGCAUUCUGAGGGAGGAGACGCAAGGGUGGAGGGGGUGGGGGGCGAGGACAACUAGGGACAGUUGGACCGGGAGCCAAAUUCCCCACUGCUGAACCUAAUUACACACAGGCCACAGAAACCGACAUCCAAACUGGAAGUCUGUGGAGUCUGCAGGUCUGGAAAAACUGGAGGGCGACAACCAGGAAGCCAGCCCGUGACUGGACUCUCUUCUGGCCAUAUAUAGAAGUAAAUCAUUUCUUACACACAUGGUUUUUGAGGGCUACUGAAAACUGUGUUGCCUAGUGACCCCAUCAGAGGAGUGAAAGAUAAGCUUGUGAGUAGGAGACCUUUCUCCUCUUAACUCAGACUUUAGUUGCAACCUGUGUGACUCACAGAAACUCAGAUCCAGCAUCCUCGGCAGGUCUGGACAUUGUAAGAAGGGAGUUCUGAAGCUGCCACAGAGGAGGGGCCUUUCCUUAUAAAUGUCGCAGAGGCUUUAGGAAAAAUAUGCACCUCAUCCGAUUUCAGAAGUACCUCUUUAGCCAUGCAAAUGCUUUUAGCUGGGCUAUACUCUGACCCCAUGUCAUUUUUAAUUAUGUUCUCUGCCCCUCUCAUGGCCCUUUUCACAUAUAGUCCUGAUUAUAUGUUUAGUCCAUGUGAGCAGGCAGAAUUGCAGAUCCCAAAGCAGUACUGAGGAAGGAAAGAACCCAAUGCUUCAGGCACUUACAAGGAAACAAGUGCACAAGCAAGGGUACCACGCUCUUCCAUGCUGGGAGAAGGCCUUUGCAACCUCCCAGAUGGGGCCUGAUGGCCUUCACUCACUGGCAAAUAUUUACCAAGCACCUCACAGAACCAUCCCUGCCCACCCAGAGCUGCAGACCAGUGUGAAGAACAAAUAAACAUUGUCAUUACUGUGGGGCAGGCACUAUGAGGGGAAGCAUAGAGUCCUGUGGGAACACAGAAGACUAGCUUCUACCCAAGUCUUAGAAAGCCAAGCUCUUUCCAGAGGAGAUGGUGGCUGAGCUGGCACCCAGGCAGGUAGAGAUUGGGUCGGGGGAAGAAUUUCUCCUAAAAAAGCCCCAUGAGAAGACAGCUCUCAAAUAAUAACAUGGUAAGAGAACAGAACAGGGCUAAAAUAUUCAAGAACUUAACCCCAACACCUCAGACACAGUGCACGUCUACCUCCCAAUCAUACUGACCAUGUUACCCAAUAACAUUACAGAGCAAAUUAAUUGCUUUCAAAUUAUAAGGGGGAAAAAAAAAAGACAGUAUCAUAAUCUAUUUGACCUUGAAUUUUGACAGCUAACAAUGUACGCCCUGGAAUCUUGGGAUUGGAGGAAAUCACAUGGGCCACUGAGUCCUCUCACCAGGUACAGUAAUCCCCCUACAGCGGCCCUGCCAAGUGGUCACCCAGACUCUGCUCCAAUUGCUCCAGUAAUGGAGAGCUCUGCAGGGAUCAAGGCAACUAGUUGGUUUUAAAAGCAGGAGCUAGAGUGUAUAGUGACCACCUACCAGGCUGAAGUCUUUCCAUACUCAAUAAAUGCUACAAAAGGCCAACAG